AAGGUUUUUGGUGAAGUCAAACUGUUCCAGGACCACCAGAGGACCACCAGUCACCCGGACGCUGGCGGCAAGGUAACGUCUUAUUGGCAAUAAUGGGUGAAGACAGUCAAGCUACAGUUUUGUCCGGGAAACAGGUGGCUCAAGAUGUCCGGGACAAGUUGAAGGAACAUGUUGAGAAGCUUAAGAAUGAAUUUGCUGGCUUUGCUCCGAAUGCAAUUGUUCAGGUUUGU